AUGGGUGCUUAUGAAAUUGAAUCUAUGUUUAAAGAGUUUGAUGAUAUUGAUGAUUCUUGUUAUAGAUCUGAAAAAUUAGCUAUCCUCAAAUAUUGCUAUGAGAAUUAUGAAUACAAUUAUGAAAUUAAUGCACUUAUUAAGAAAGUCUCCGAUGUCCAAGAAGAGACUAAUAUUUUGCAAGAAUCUAUGGAAGAAGAAAUUGAUGAAACUGUGAGCUCAUUGGAUGAAAAAGAUGAUGAGGAGAGCGAAGAACAAAAGGAGGAAGAGUGGAUUGAUCACCCAUGCCCACCUUCUAAUGAGUGUAACUCUUCAACUCAUACAUUGUUUAAUUCCCCUUCGUGCUUACCGAAGGAUGAUUGCUAUGAUGACUGUUAUGAUCCCUAUGAUUCUUUUGAAAUAUCCCUUUUUGAUGAUACUUGCUAUGCUUGUGGCCAAGAUGCCAAUAUGAAUGAUGCUUAUGGAGAUGAACUUGCUAUAGUUCCUUAUGUUAAACAUGAAAUUGUUGCUAUUGCACCCACGCAUGAUAGUCCUAUUAUCUUUUUGAAUUCUCCAAACUACACUAUAUCGGAGAAGUUUGCCCUUAUUAAGGAUUAUAUUGAUGGGUUGCCUUUUACCAUUGCACAUGAUGAUUUUGAUAGAUAUAAUAUGCAUGUGCUUGCUGCUCCUACCUGCAAUUAUUAUGAGAGAGGAACUAUAUCUCCACCUCUCUAUGUUUCUAACAUGAUAAAAUUGCAUGAAACUGUUUAUACUAUGCAUUGGCCUUUACUAGGUGUGCAUGAAUUGUUCUUUUAUGACAUGCCGAUGCAUAGGAAGAGAGUUAGACUUCGUCAUUACAUGAUAUAUGUUACUUUGUGCUCACUACUAAAUUACAAAUCAUUGCUAAUUAAAAUUGGCUUUGAUAUACCUUGGGAUCUGGGUGGAUUCAUUACUUGA
rnacentral:rRNA from 1 species